rnacentral:lncRNA from 1 species
UGAUUAAUAAAAAUCAUGAUUUUUAUUAUAUUAUAAAAUAGAGUUGAUCCUUGAUAUAUUAUAAGAUUAGAUAAGAAGCAUGUGAAAUUAAUAAUCAAAAAAAUAUUAUACUUCUUUGCUACACCAACUAACAUCCUUUGGAUCUUCAUAUCAAAAACUUGCUCCACAAUGUCCAACAUGUCUACCAUGGUUUACCUUAGAAGGAAUUCAAUAGUUAUUUUAUCCCAACCUAGAUUGCAGAUAAAUAUAAUGAAGCCAUCAAAAAUAUCCUUAACUCUUACAAUUUUUA